CCUAUGGGCCAUUCUCUAUAUAAUAAACAGUUUAACCAGACCCCUAUGGGCCAUUCUCUAUAUAAUACAUAGUUUAACCAGACCGCUAUGGGCCAUUCUCUAUAUAAUACGUAGUUUAACCAGACCCCUAUGGGCCAUUCUCUAUAUAAUACGUAGUUUAACCAGGGCCAUUCUCUAUAUAAUACGUAGUUUAACCAGACCCCUAUGGGCCAUUCUCUAUAUAAUAAACAGUUUAACCAGACCCCUAUGGGCCAUUCUCAGUAUAAUACGUAGUUUAACCAGAUCGCUAUGGGCCAUUCUCUAUAUAAUAAACAGUUUAACCAGACCCCUAUGGGCCAUUCUCUAUAUAAUACGUAGUUUAACCAGACCCCUAUGGGCCAUUCUCUAUAUAAUACGUAGUUUAACCAGACCCCUAUGGGCCAUUCUCUAUAUAAUACGUAGUUUAACCAGGGCCAUUCUCUAUAUAAUAGGUAGUUUAACCAGACCCCUAUGGGCCAUUCUCUAUAUAAUAGGUAGUUUAACCAGACCGCUAUGGGCCAUUCUCUAUAUAAUAAACAGUUUAACCAGACCCCUAUGGGCCAUUCUCUAUAUAAUACGUAGUUUAACCAGGGCCAUUCUCUAUAUAAUACGUAGUUUAACCAGACCCCUAUGGGCCAUUCUCUAUAUAAUACGUAGUUUAGCCAGGGCCAUUCUCUAUAUAAUACGUAGUUUAACCAGAACCCUAUGGGCCAUUCUCUAUAUAAUACAUAGUUUAACCAGGGCCAUUCUCUAUAUAAUACGUAGUUUAACCAGACCCCUAUGGGCCAUUCUCUAUAUAAUAGGUAGUUUAACCAGACCCCUAUGGGCCAUUCUCUAUAUAAUAGGUAGUUUAACCAGACCCCUAUGGGCCAUUCUCUAUAUAAUAGGUAGUUUAACCAGACCCCUAUGGGCCAUUCUCUAUAUAAUAGGUAGUUUAACCAGACCCCUAUGGGCCAUUCUCUAUAUAAUACGUAGUUUAACCAGACCCCUAUGGGCCAUUCUCUAUAUAAUACGUAGUUUAACCAGGGCCAUUCUCUAUAUAAUAGGUAGUUUAACCAGACCCCUAUGGGCCAUUCUCUAUAUAAUACGUAGUUUAACCAGACCCCUAUGGGCCAUUCUCUAUAUAAUACGUAGUUUAACCAGACCCCUAUGGGCCAUUCUCUAUAUAAUACGUAGUUUAACCAGACCCCUAUGGGCCAUGUUGGG
rnacentral:lncRNA from 1 species